UACGUAGGGUGCGAGCGUUAAUCGGAAUUACUGGGCGUAAAGCGUGCGCAGGCGGUGAUGUAAGACAGUUGUGAAAUCCCCGGGCUCAACCUGGGAACUGCAUCUGUGACUGCAUCGCUGGAGUGCGGCAGAGGGGGAUGGAAUUCCGCGUGUAGCAGUGAAAUGCGUAGAUAUGCGGAGGAACACCGAUGGCGAAGGCAAUCCCCUGGGCCUGCACUGACGUCAUGCACGAAAGCGUGGGGAGCAACAGG
rnacentral:rRNA from 1 species